GACGAACGCUGGCGGCGUGCUUAACACAUGCAAGUCGAACGGUGAAGCGCCUUCCUUUUUGGUGGGUGUGGAUGAGUGGCGAACGGGUGAGUAACACGUGAGUAACCUGCCCCCUUCUUCUGGAUAACCGCAUGAAAGUGUGGCUAAUACGGGAUAUUCUGGGUCUGUCGCAUGAUGGGUCUGGGUAAGAUAUUGUUUCGGUGGGGGAUGGGCUCGGGGCCUAUCAGCUUGUUGGUGGGGUGAUGGCAUACCAAGGCGGUGACGGGUAGCCGGCCUGGGGGGGGGGACGGUCAGACUUGAGAUGAUGAACGGCCAAACCGCGUACGGGACACAGCCGUGGCGCAUACGGGAGGCAGGGGGGAAGCAUAAUGCAGCGUCGCCGCGUGAGUGAUGGAGGCAUUCGGGUUGAGAAACUCUUUCGCCAGUGAAGCAGGGCUGCCUCGUCUGUGGCUGGGUUGACGGUACCUGGAUAAGAAGCGCCGGCUAACUACGUG
rnacentral:rRNA from 1 species